ACGAACGCUGGCGGCAGGCCUAAUACAUGCAAGUCGAGCGCAUUCUUCGGAAUGAGCGGCGGACGGGUGAGUAACGCGUGGGAAUAUACCCUUCUCUAAGGAAUAGCCUCUGGAAACGGAGAGUAAUACCUUAUACGCCCUUCGGGGGAAGGAUUUAUCGGAGAAGGAUUAGCCCGCGUUAGAUUAGAUAGUUGGUGGGGUAAUGGCCUACCAAGUCUACGAUCUAUAGCUGAUUUGAGAGGAUGAUCAGCAACACUGGGACUGAGACACGGCCCAGACUCCUACGGGAGCAGCAGUGGGGAAUCUUAG
rnacentral:rRNA from 1 species